rnacentral:rRNA from 1 species
GACGAACGCUGGCGGCGUGCUUAACACAUGCCAGUCGAACGGUGAAGCUCCAGCUCGCUGGAGUGGAUCAGUGGCGAACGGGUGAGUAACACGUGAGCAACCUGCCCCUGACUCUGGAAUAAGCGCUGGAAACGGCGUCUAAUACUGGAUACGAGAAGGGUCCGCAUGGGCACUUUCUGGAAAGUUUUUCGGUUGGGGAUGGGCUCGCGGCCUAUCAGCUUGUUGGUGAGGUAAUGGCUCACCAAGGCGACGACGGGUAGCCGGCCUGAGAGGGCGACCGGCCACACUGGGACUGAGACACGGCCCAGACUCCUACGGGAGGCAGCAGUGGGGAAUAUUGCACAAUGGGCGAAAGCCUGAUGCAGCGACGCCGCGUGAGGGAUGACGGCCUUCGGGUUGUAAACCUCUUUCAGCAGGGAAGAAGCGAAAGUGACGGUACCUGCAGAAGAAGCACCGGCUAACUACGUG